UCUGUCUAUCCAGGGCCUGGA
rnacentral:siRNA from 1 species